UUAUUAUUGUUGCUUAUCUCGAAAUAUGCAGCCACUUAAUUACAAAAGUGAUAACCUAGUGAUUAAAAAUAUAUAUGCAAUAAUUAGUUAUUAGUCCAGUGGUGAUAGUACACGCCUGACUUCAGAACACUCCAGCCAUGAAGAAUUUUAUCCCUUAUUCUUUGCCUUUUUCACUUUUGUGUCUUCUAUUCUUACAAUCGAUGGUCAUCGGCAGUGUAACUCGUGACACAGGAUGUUACCUUGACAGCGUUGGGCAUUUUAAGACAGGAGAACAAAAAUCUAUUCCUGGACAAUGUGUGAUUCUGGUGGUAGUUUUUCAGUUGUAAUAUGUCCUGAAAUUCAGAUAGAUACAUCAGGCUGCCACCUAGGUAAAACGGAUUUUUCAAAACCUUACCCGGAGUGUUGUCCCAAAGUAAUUUGUACUAAAUCAUAAAUUAGUAAAACACAAAAUGAUUUUUUAAAGGAACACUUAUUUGUAGAUACAUAUUUUGUUUAAAAUGUUAAAAAUAUUGUCACAGCAAUUAUAAAUUCUGUAUUCUUUAUAACAUGGGUAAAAGUGUUUAUAAAUUUCAUACGAAGUUAA